rnacentral:rRNA from 1 species
GUAGUCCUGGCAGUAAACGGUGCGCGUUUGGUGUGGGAGGAUUCGACCCCUUCCGUGCCGGAGCUAACGCGUUAAACGCGCCGCCUGGGGAGUACGGUCGCAAGAUUAAAACUCAAAGAAAUUGACGGGGGCCCGCACAAGCGGUGGAGUAUGUGGCUUAAUUCGAUGCAACGCGAAGAACCUUACCUAGCCUUGACAUGCAUCUCUCAGUCGGUGAAAGCCGGCGAGCCUAGCAAUAGGCAAUUUGCACAGGUGCUGCAUGGCUGUCGUCAGCUCGUGUCGUGAGAUGUUGGGUUAAG